rnacentral:rRNA from 1 species
GAGUUUGAUCGUGGCUCAGGAUGAACGCUAGCGGCAGGCCUAAUACAUGCAAGUCGAGGGGCAGCGCGGGUAGCAAUACCUGGCGGCGACCGGCGCACGGGUGCGUAACACGUAUACAAUCUGCCUUUAACAGGGGGAUAGCCCGGAGAAAUCCGGAUUAAUACCCCAUAAUAUAUUGAGUGGCAUCACUUGAUAUUGAAAGCUCCGGCGGUUAGAGAUGAGUAUGCGCCUGAUUAGUUAGUUGGUGAGGUAACGGCUCACCAAGACUUCGAUCAGUAGGGGAUCUGAGAGGACUACCCCCCACACGGAUACUGAGACACGGAUCCGACUCCUACGGGAGGCAGCAGUAAGGAAUAUUGGACAAUGCCCGCAAGGGUGAUCCAGCCAUGCCGCGUGCAGGAAGACGGCCCUAUGGGUUGUAAACUGCUUUUACACCGGAGAAAACCCCUUCUCGUGAGGAGGGCUGAUAGUAUGGUGAGAAUAAGCAUCGGCUAACUUCGUGCCAGCCGCC